UACGUAGGGGGCGAGCGUUGUUCGGAAUUACUGGGCGUAAAGCGCACGCAGGCGGCUCGUUGAAUUAGAAGUGAAAGCCCUGGGCUCAACCCGGGAAUUGCUUUUAAGACUGGCGAGCUAGAGUUCGGAAGAGGGUAGUGGAAUUCCAAGUGUAGAGGUGAAAUUCGUAGAUAUUGGGAAGAACACCGGUGGCGAAGGCGGCUACCUGGUCCGACACUGACGCUCAGGUGCGAAAGCGUGGGGAGCAAACAGG
rnacentral:rRNA from 1 species